ACUUAUUUUAAAUAUGGGGCGGUUACAAAAAAAAAAAAAAGGCAAUUAUCAAGAACCGUUCAAUCUUCUAUAUCUAAGGAUAGAUAUUAAUUCUCCAUCCUCUAAAAUUAGGGUUCAGCGCCGCUUCUUCUUCACUAUCAUUGCUUCUCCCAGUCCUUCCACUUUCUUCCACCUUUCACCGCCGCCGGCGAGAAGCUCAUCCGUGCUCUCCCUUGUCUUCUCUCUCCCUCUGCCUCAGCCUCUGCCGACUUUCUUCCACCUUUCGCCGCUGCCGGCGAGAAGCUCAAACGUGCUCUCUAUCGUCUUCUCUCUCCCUCUGCCGGAGAAAAACCUGCAACCGUAUCACGGCAAAGCCGCGGUCCAAAACCCUUUGAUCCCUAAACUACCAACUCCGGCCUCACAUCUAGACGACGCUCCACGCGGUGUCGCCUCUCUCCUCGACGACGAUAAAUGAGCCGCUGCCUCCCUCUGCUAAGCCCGUAUCCAGCCGCCGCCGUCCGAGUUUCAAACUACGGCGUCGCCCAGCCCUCUGCUAAGCCUGUAUCCAGCCGCCGCCGUCCGAGUUUCAAACUACGGCGUCGCCCAGCCCUAGCCUCCAGAUCUCGGCCUCCUCCCUCGACUGUAUACAGUGCUGCUUGUAUGAAUAUGCUUUCUCUGCAAAGCCUUUGGGUGAAGUCAAAUCCACUAUCACUGAUGGUCUCAAUCAAGCACUCAUUCUCUUGAUAAAGAUCUCAGUGGUACAGAAAGAUUCAGUCUUAAUCUUCUGCGGUCUUGAUCUGCUGCAAAAAUUCAGAAAUAUUAGCUACAUUUUUAGACUUUGUAUGUAAAGUAGAAAAAAGUGUAUAAAUUUGUAUCUUAGUUGUAAUUGAAACUAAUAAUAAACAGCAAAAAAUCUAAACAGAAUAAAAAGAAAAA